AAGCGGAGGAAAAGAAACUAACAAGGAUUCCCCUAGUAACGGCGAGUGAAGCGGGAAGAGCUCAAAUUUGUAAUCUGGCACUUUCAGUGUCCGAGUUGUAAUCUCGAGAAGUAUUUUCCGCGCCGGACUGCAUACAAGUCUGUUGGAAUACAGCGUCAUAGUGGUGAGAACCCCGUAACUGAUGCAGAUGCCCGGUGCUUUGUGAUAUACUUUCGAAGAGUCGAGUUGUUUGGGAAUGCAGCUCAAAUUGGGUGGUAAAUUCCAUCUAAAGCUAAAUAUUGGCGAGAGACCGAUAGCGAACAAGUACCGUGAGGGAAAGAUGAAAAGCACUUUGGAAAGAGAGUUAACAGUACGUGAAAUUGUUGGAAGGGAAACGCUUGAAGUCAGACUUGCUAUUUGGAAUUCAGCCGCAAGGUGUACUUUUCAAUUCGCAGGCCAGCAUCAGUUUUUGGGGGUGGAAAAGGGUAGAGAGAAGGUAGCAGUUUCGGCUGUGUUAUAGCUCUUUGCUGGAUUCAUCCUUGGGGACUGAGGAACGCAGCACGCUUUUUGCAAGGCUUUCGAGCUUUUCGUGCUUAGGAUGCUGGUGGAAUGGCUUUAAACGACCCGUCUU
rnacentral:rRNA from 1 species